rnacentral:lncRNA from 1 species
CGCUGGCUCCUUCUCCUCGGGACCGUCCCUGGCCUCUCCAGUCCCACCUGCACAAAGGGAGAUGGAAGAAGAGGACUCAGACGCCUCUCCAGUCCUGGGAAGAAUUCCAACGUAAAUAUUACCAGUGAUGGAAAUCUGAGGGAAGGCGAGGAGGAUGAAAGACGAAUUGAGGCCCCAAAGAGUGUCCAGUUCCUCCUUAACUGCAGAGCCAUGGAAAAUUCUUUGUUCCCAACUGCUGGCUUCUUGCCUCCAGGAUCUGGUGUCCUGGGGAACAGAGGGCAGAACCAGGCUGGGUCCUUGGAAGUGGAUGCAAGGUGCCCUGAGCAUCUGCCACCCAGGAAGCCCAAGCUGGUCUCUGUAGGUUCACUAGCUCACUUAGCGCUCAGAACGACUAAGCUGCCCAUCUUACAGCUGAGAAAACCGGCACUCAGAGAGGUAAAGCCGCUUGUCUAAGGUCACAUGGUGGGGCUAGGACAAACAUCUCAAGCCUCUGGGCUUCUCAGGUGAGGUUCUUGUCCCAGUCCAGGGUGACAGCCAUCUCGGGGACCUCGAAGAGGAUGCGGAUGGCAGGCUGGGGACCCCGGCCCCUCCUCAGAGCUUUUCCCAGGCUGUAUAACCCAGUGGUCAUGAGCAGGGGCCUUGAGUCAGAGGCAGGUCAGGAAAUUAGCCCUGCAGUACCUAGGGACCCAGCACAAGCAGUGCAGCACAGGAGUUACGAGCCUGGGCUCUGGGGCCAGAUGGCCUGGGUUCAAAGCUCUGUUCUCCCAUGGACCAACUGUGUGGUCCUUACAUUAUUGUGCAGCUCUAUCUGGUAGCCAUGUACACCUGCUCUAAAGGCUGCUGGUAAAGACUAAAUCAGCCCGGAGCUGGCUGUUGUUACUUUAUAUCCUCAGAGCAGAAAGUGCUGUGGGGGGCCUAAAGCAGACCCCACACCCAGUCCCACCCUUCCCUCCUCCCCAGCAGCUGGCUUUGUGGAUGACCCACCCCGAGAGGGCCUGUUCUGAUUUGGGUACACAAAUGAGGGGGGUGUGACCGCAGGGAAUUAAAGGCAAAUGGACCCAACUUGCAAAUUUGGGCAUUUUCAUGGAGUGCGGUUGUUGGGGCUGGAGGCUGGAGGCCAUCGAAAGACCCCCUCCUAGCCCCACCCCCCCAGUACAGAGGGCCAGCCCAGCCCAAGCCUGAUGAGUGUCCCCAGUACACCCAGCCAUUCUGGGAGUGAGCACACUCACCCAUCACACAGAUUCCCUUGGUCAGCUAGGCCUAGGCUGGGUCUGCCGUAAGUCAUGGCCUCAGGGAGGAGCCCAGAGAAGGAGAGGACGUGCCAAGGUCACCUACAGAGCCGGCAGUGGGGCAGGGAGCCCUGCCGUGCACCUGUCCAGAGACUGGCCACAGCCCAGGCGUCAGAUGUCCUGGGCACUGUGCCUGGUCUGCCACGCUGGGGAUCUGGGUGCCUUUGCCAACUUCCCUAACCUCUCCGGGCUCCUGGACUCCACCUGGGAACCUGGAAGGGACCCAGAGCACUGGAGCUGCCCUGGCAAGAGGCAGUACCUAGGCUCUGGGCCACAAUGACAGGAUAUCCCCAGGGAGCUGGGCUGGCUGCCACGCAGGGAACACCAGGGCGGAGACCUGGCACCACGGAUGAGAGGCCCCAAAGGGCACUGAGGAGGGAAAGUCAGGACAGCUGGGCCCUGAGAGGGUAAAAGAACAGGCCAGGAGUGGCGUGGAAACUGUAACAACAAUGAGAGGCCCACAAAUAGAGAGCUGAAUCUUUGCUCUGCCCCCAGCCUAGGAGCCUGGGGCAGGCCCGGGUCUCCUGCCACUUUGUUCUAAUUUUGCUUCUGGGUGGGCUGUGUGAGCAAGUCCCUACCAGGAAUCCUGUGACCUCCAGACACUGUUGUGUCCCACCCCACUGCACAGAGACCCUGAGCCCAGAGGGGAGGAGGCUUUCUCAGACUCUGAAGGCCAGGGUCAUGCCUGAAAGUACCCAGCCUCACUUGAGGACUUAACCAGCCCCACUAAUCCAGCCCCAGGCCCAGGGUUACCUACAGGACAAGGCUGAACCAGCUGCCCCUGCUCUCUGCACACAGGGGCAGGGAUGUUCUCCAGGCCGAGGGACUGACCAAGACAAGCCUUGCCCUCAGGUACCCCCAGGCCAAAGGCCUUUCUCCAAACCAAGGAGCAAGUCCCAGGUCUCAAAUUCCUUUUCAAGCUGUGCCUCAGUCUUUCAAACCUGGUUGGGUGUAACCAUUUACAAGGCAAAUAAGGGUUUUGUGUUUUAUCUUUUUACAACCCACUAUUAGCUGAUGCCAUACAGGCCGACUGGUCAGGUGUGGCCUUGAACCUGGAACAGAGUGGCCUCCCUGCCAGGGAAGAGUUUACCUCACUGGCCAAGGUGAUGAUCAGCACAGCCCAAGAAUAUCCACGACACUCUGUGGUUAUGCCAGACAUUAUAGCA